AAACAGAAAGCCAACUGCUCCGAGUCGAAGUGGACAGAGAUCAUCCCAAUGUAGAGAUUCUUAUAAAAAUAUCCCCCAGCUACAUACACCAAACAGAGCACACAGGCCAGGUUCCUACAAAGAGAAAAUUCUUUGAAUCAGAACAAGGACGGCAAGGAAGGCCAGAAGCAAACAAGCACGUUCCUAGCUAUCAUUGCUGAGUUUAUGGUUCUUUUUUUUUUUGGACUUUCUUGAGUUUAUGGCCCUUGAAACACAUCUGCUACCAAAGGCUGCAGAGGGUAAACACAUUAUGUCCAGGAAGUACCAGAUCACUGAGGCCGGCGCUCGACCACAAGUUUCUUGAGAUGCAGUUGACAAGCAACGUUGUGUAAGUUGAAGGUGGAGGAGAGGUUGGCUUGAUACACCUUGCAAAAUGUUUACCUCAGUAAGAUGAGGACAGAGGUUCAAAGAGGUUGAGCAACUGCCCAGGAUGGAACUGUAGGCAAGUGACAGAGCCGGGAUCACAAGCCAGGUCUUCAGACGCCUGGCCCACGGCUCAACCCAUCACCGCUCCCACCAACCUGAGGUCUCAACCCAAGAGCCACAUGGAACGCUGCUCUGGGGCCAAGAGCUGGCUUAACUCUCCGCAGAGUACAUGCUAUCAGAUA